UUCCGGUUGAUCCUGCCGGACCUGACUGCUAUCGGAUUGAUACUAAGCCAUGCGAGUCAUUGUAGCAAUACAAGGCAUACGGCUCAGUAACGCGUAGUCAACCUAACCUAUGGACGGGAAUAACCUCGGGAAACUGAGAAUAAUGCCCGAUAGAACACUAUACCUGGAAUGGUUUGUGUUCCAAAUGAUUUAUCGCCGUAGGAUGGGACUGCGGCCUAUCAGUUUGUUGGUGAGGUAAUGGCCCACCAAGACUAUUACAGGUACGGGCUCUGAGAGGAGUAGCCCGGAGAUGGGUACUGAGACACGGACCCAGGCCCUAUGGGGCGCAGCAGGCGAGAAAACUUUGCAAUGUGCGAAAGCACGACAAGGUUAAUCCGAGUGAUUUGUGCUAAACGAAUCUUUUGUUAGUCCUAGAACCACUAACGAAUAAGGGGUGGGCAAGUUCUGGUGUCAGCCGCCGCGGUAAAACCAGCACCUCAAGUGGUCAGGAUGAUUAUUGGGCCUAAAGCAUCCGUAGCCGGCUCUGUAAGUUUUCGGUUAAAUCUGUACGCUUAACGUACAGGCUGCCGGGAAUACUGCAGAGCUAGGGAG
rnacentral:rRNA from 1 species